UGUAUGAAAAAUCCUUUCACAGGUUUUUCUAGUACCACUAGGAAAGCUGGUGCUUGAUGGAGAGAUAAAGAAAAAUAUUUUAAACUUGGCAUCCAGUUUCAACCUGAAGGCCCAAAACACGUUUCCUCAGUGCAUGCCUCACCAGCAAAGUACACGUCCAUUGACAGAGCGCAAAUAAUCACAUUCAGCCAUGAGUGGGGAAAUUCAGAAGAGACUAAUUGCAAGAAGCUGCAUUCGUAUCAGAAGCAUCUUAGCAGGUAGCCAGCACAAUACUUAAUCUCAUCCUAAAUGCAGGCAUUAGGUUUUUCUCUUCUAAAACCCACCUAUGCUGUUCUUACUGAUUCUGGGAAUGGUGAAUUCCAUAGAAUUGCAGCAGAAUUGCCAGGUCACAGCCUGAACCAAUGGUUGAGCACCAGGUGAGAAGAUGUGGCUAACCCAGGGAGCUCAGGUGCAAGCAAUGCACACAAGUGACUAGAAGGGGUAGACUCUGGAUCUGCCUCUCCUCGCCCUUAUUUAAGUAUUAGCAGCUGAAGGAGCAGGAUCUCUCUGGACAGAGAUCUUGGGCUGUCACUGGUCAUCAAAAGGGGUGAGCAAUUCUUCUUUGUCAUAUUCUAUUGCUCCAUAGCACUUGUAUCCCAGUAGAAGGCACUGUCAUUGCCUUCUUUUACUGCACAAGAAUAUAAGCAUUAAGUUUGGUUGUACUCCCCAGAUGAUAGAUGUGGACAGUGAAGGAAGUUAUUAAUCAGAAGUUAUCUUCCCAACUAAUACAGUCAUUUAGUCAUUACUGAGUUACUUUCAACUAAAACCCAGUGGCUUCUCUGUAAUGAUUUUCUUUCUUUCUUUCUACAGAGAAUGAUGGUGAACAGGGUCAAAUAUGCUGCCUUGUCUUAUCCUCAUGUAAAGAAAUCUCUCCUUCACAACUAAGAGAGACAGCUUUCAUCAGAGGCAUUGUUGCCAGGCUCUGUGGUUUCAAAGAUCAUCUCUGAGAAAGCCUGUUAUUAGCACCAAACUCUUGUCCAAACCAUUUUGUGCUGCCACUGUCAAUGGAAGCCUUUGCAUGAUGCUGGAAGAUCAAACAGGAUUCUCCAUCUUCACAAGCAAGGAUGGUACAGUGCAAGACAAGCGUAGCUAAAUUCAUGUAGCAGGUGAGUGAAAGGGAGCAGUAAGGUAUUUUCACCUCUUUCUAUCUACUCUGUUGCAUGCAAAACUCAGCCAUUUUGGCAUGAGUUACUAUGGGUCCUACUAUGCUUAUCGCUCUGUUCUGUAACUCACAAGAAAGCACUUUGGAAUCUUCUUAUAAUCACACAGUAUGAAAUGUUACUUCAAGCACCUCAAUCUGUGAACCAAAACAGGUUGAGGUUCUCCCAACAAAUCCCUGGCACCAACAAGCUGUCUAAUGAUCUUUGAAAUCCCCGCAAACAGUGUGUUUUUUAACAGUGCCAAUAGAUACUACAAUGAGCAUCUGAAGAACAGUCAAGUAAAACUAACAGGUAUUCAUGUGGGCAGCAUGCAGACAGCUAUCCUCCCCUUGUCCAAACAAAAGCUUUCCUACUUUCAUAAAGAAAAUUUACUUUUAAUUCAGAAAAGGAAUCUGCCGAUUUUCCAGUCAGAUUUGCAGGUGUUGCCUCACAAACUACAAACCAGAGGAAAGCCUAAUUACUUACUUAACUAACUAAUUUACAACAGCUGAUCUAAGGGUAGGACUUGAGCACCCUCUGCUGCUCAGAGAUAAGGCCUGAUUUACCACCAAAAUUCAGGAAUUUGGAAAAUGAGUGUAAGGUAAAUUUCUUGUUUAAAAUAUAUAUUAAGGAAGCAAGUUGUAAGGUGCAGCUUAACAGAGCACGCUUACCGUACCCACUUGGAACUGCUUUGUUUAGAGAUACAGAACACCUGUUGUAUCUUAUUCAACUCAAUUGUAUGGAAAAAGCUGAGCUAUGCUUCCUAUGUUCAAAAGUGCAGUGCCCUAUUUCCUAAGAAAGGCAGUAAAUUCUCACUAAGAGAAAAUCUACACUGAGGACAUGGAAACACUGACAAACUCUUCCAGUUUGAAACAGGCUUUGCUGCGAACAGAUACUACUUUUGUCAGAACUGUGUGAGAACAGUUUCCAGAGGCAUAAGGAAACAUUGUUCCAAUGUAUGUCAGCUCAGGCUUUUGGGAAGGGUCUGAAGGAAAUACAAGACCUACUCCACAAAACAUUUGUUGAGAGGCAGCAGCUUAUUCUCCAACCUAAUUUAAAAUCUCAGCUGUAGCAUUCAAUAGGCUUGAAGGUCUGUGCAAAGCCUUAGCAAGUAACUGCUGAUAACCAUAUUUGAUAUCUAUUUAAGAGUGCCAGAAGUGGAUGAAAAAGUGAAGAUUACUACAGAGUGCUAUGGAAAGAGCUGUCCCAACAGAUGACAGUAUCCUUUAUCCCCUGACCUUCCAGCCGGAGCAGCUAGUGCCUUUCCAGUUUGAGUUACUGAUGACUGAGACUCUUCAGAUGGGACUGCUAAUAAGCGGACGAAACUACAGCUGACUGAUGUGAACUGUGAAGCUCUUUGCUAACAGAUACUAUCUGUGCUAAGCUCCUGCCACACCGUGCAAGUAACAUUACGGAGCAGAAUAUAGGUUGGGAAAAGCUCAAACCUACUGAAGCUCAUUGGCUAACUGUGACUGACAGCAGCUGUCCAGAAGGGCUUCUUCAAGACUGUCUAAACCCAACUUGAUCACUAUCCCUUGUGCUGCCUGCCUUAACCACUGGGUGCCAGUACCUCUCAGCAAGGAGGUUCUUACGCAUAGCUUAUCCGCCUGAGAUGGGUCUGCUGCCUGCAUAUCAGCAAAGCCUUAUGAAGAAACCAGUGCAGUUCUCCAGAUCCAAAUGUAGACUGUAAGUGCGCAAUGCAUGGAACUGUUAAGUCUUGUGACAGGAAUCAGUUUUAAAUUUGCCAGGGCACUGUACAGAAUGCACCUGUACCAAAGGAAGAGGUGAGUGUUCAGCUACUUCCUCUGGCUGUGGUUGUACUCAGCUUGCACUUGCAAUAAACACAGGCUAUUAAGUGUCACUGUGGGCAGUGGCAGAGAGAGUGGGCCUCACACUCUUGCAUGCUUUAAUAAAUUGCAUGCAUUCAUUCACCAUGCAGCUAGUCUUACGGUUCAGGCUGUCUGCAAGGUAACAGCAGCCAUAAAGCUGUGAUUUUGAUUGCAUAUUUUAUGUGCGAAUAAGUGACAGAAGUGUCACCAUUACUUUGAACUGCACUUCAAUAAGUACAGGGAUUUGUGGCCCAUUUUCAAGGAGUCAUUCAGCUCAUUUCGUUUCUCUUGCUGCCUUUUACUGAUUUGAAUUGAGAAUUAUAAUGAGGUGAUUUAUGUCUUACUAUUUGGAAUUGUCUUUUCAUUGCAUUCAAAUACCAGGUAGUUCAAAGUUGGUCAACAAUUAGAAAUGAUCAAUAAAAUCAUAAUGUUUUGUGCUUUUUCAGUAGUACCUAAGAAAGCUGCUUCUUUCUCUUAUUGUUUUGAGUGGAUGAAAACUCAGAAAAGAUGAGGUAAGCUCCAUGCAGUCAGAAAAGUCUCUGUAGAAAUGCUCCUAAACAGAAAUCCAGAACUGCUAAUACUAAGAAGCACGAAUAGAUAUGAUAUCCCCUUGUCUUGUGCUCAAGCUCUACCUAAUUGCAACCACAUGCUUAAAGUAAUAAGGCAUGUCAAGGUAAUGUUUUUAAAAUGUCUUUGUCUAUGUUAUUAAUACCAUCGUGGACUAUUAAAAUUAAAGGGCUCUCAUAAAGAUAAUUCAUUUUUCAUUAUUUAUCUGCUGUUACCAUCAUUCGCUUUCUUGGGUGUGGGUAGUGAAUCAUCAGAAGGGUGUUUUGUAUCUGUAUAUUAGAUGUUCCACCUCUGUCUUUUUAUAAAUAGCACAGAUGUAUUUGUGCCUCUACAAUUUCAGGACAUGAAGCAGCCUCUACCAGAUCAGACUACACAAGGAAUUUCCCUGCAGGCAGCCUAUCUUCUGCCAGUUCUUAUGUUGUUCUAAAAAAACUUGUAGCAAUGAACGUAGUGUGUGGAUUAAUGAAUUAUGUGGACUGCUGGCCCACUGUAUCAUGGAAAUUCCUCAAUAAAGUGACCUUGGGUGGCACUGAGCUUCUUGAACCUGCUAUGGCUGCCCUGUUGUACCUACAGCCUGUGUGUGUGUGUAAGCACCUGUUUGCAUGUGUACUUACACUAGCAAUAAAGGCUGAAUAAGGACAAUGUCUGUAUAAAAUAAUAUGGCUGGAGACAGCUAUCGCCAUUGUUUAGAUGUUAGCAUUAUCUGAAGGGGAGUUUUUUGUUUGUUUUUUGUUGGUUUGUCGUGAUUGUGUUAUUUUUUCAAUGUCGUUUGUGUGUGUGUGUAUGUGUAAUUGUUAUACGUACUGUAAUGAAGGUUGGUUUUUUGUAAACAUUUAUAUUUUCAAAAGGAAUUAAAGUAAAGCUGGUUUUGUUUCUCAAGCUCUCUCUGCUAAAGCAUGCAGUGGGAAGAAGUUUGUAUUGUGUAAUAAAUCAGUUAGUUGUUUCAUGUGAAUGCGUGUCCUUUUUUUUUAUGUGAGGGAGCAGUCAUCUCAGUAUCUCACGUGCGUCACCAUAGCGUUCUUUUGGCUACCGCAUAACAUUUGAUCCAAUCAUUCCUAAAGUAGCAGGUGGAAACAAAGGAAAAGGAUGAGGUACUGAGAGAGAAACUUUGCUGGUUCAACUAAUGUUUUGUUGGUUUUUUUUUGUUUUUUGUUUUUAGUUUUUUGUUUUUUGUUUUUUUUUUUUAAGGGGGGAAGGAAGGGUGAGUAGAAAAAGCCGCUGGAAUCGUUAAGGCCGGGGACGUUUUUCGGAAGGGCGUCGUGAGACGCAAAGCAAGCAGUUUGAAUGAGGCACAGUGAUGUAACUUAUUAAUGUACGUCACAACGAGGUUUCAAGAAGCGCAUUACAGACUUGAAUGGAAAGUGCAGUUUUAAUCCUUAGAUCAGAUCCGAAGUCCGCGUGUCGAGCUGUCAAUUCCCCCGGCCGGCGCUAACGAGGGAACUACCGCCAGGUGCCGCGGGGCCGCGGCCGCCCGGGCUCAGCUGCGCCUCGUUGGCGGCCGGGGGCGGGUUCCGGCCCGAGCGGCUCUUAAGCUCCUCCCGAGGCCGCAGGGAGCCAUCAGACGGCUCCGGGAUCUCAUAGAGUGCGGACGUCGGCGUGGGCUCCGCUCCUUGGUCAGGUUGCGGUGGGACGUUUCCCGGUGAAGAUGAGCCCGAUCCGGUGAGCCGUUCAGGCCGAGCUUCUCGUCAGCCCGAAGCGGCGAGCGUUCAGAAGCCGCUCGGUAAGCUCUUUGUUGUGGAGUCCCUUUUCAGGCCGCCUUUCGGCCUUUUUAGUUUCAC